GACAGAGGGUGCAAACGUUGUUCGGAAUUACUGGCGUAAAGCGUGUGUAGGCGGUGAGGUAAGUCGGAUGUGAAAGCCCAGGGCUCAACCCUGGAAGUGCACUCGAUACUGCUUCGCUUGAGUACUGGAGAGGUCGGUGGAAUUCUCGGUGUAGAGGUGAAAUUCGUAGAUAUUGGGUGGAACACCCGUGGCGAAGGCGGCUCUCUGGAACGCAACGUGACGCUGAGACGCGAAAGCGUGGGGAGCAAACAGG
rnacentral:rRNA from 1 species